rnacentral:rRNA from 1 species
AUUGAACGCUGGCGGCAUGCCUUACACAUGCAAGUCGAACGGCAGCACGGGGCAACCUGGUGGCGAGUGGCGAACGGGUGAGUAAUGCAUCGGAACGUACCUUUCAGUGGGGGAUAACGUAGCGAAAGUUACGCUAAUACCGCAUAUUCUGUGAGCAGGAAGGCAGGGGAUCGCAAGACCUUGCGCUGAUUGAGCGGCCGAUGUCAGGUUAGCUAGUUGGUGAGGUAAAGGCUCACCAAGGCGACGAUCUGUAGCGGGUCUGAGAGGAUGAUCCGCCACACUGGAACUGAGACACGGUCCAGACUCCUACGGGAGGCAGCAGUGGGGAAUUUUGGACAAUGGGGGCAACCCUGAUCCAGCCAUGCCGCGUGAGUGAAGAAGGCCUUCGGGUUGUAAAGCUCUUUCGGCCGGGAAGAAAUCGCACGGGCUAAUACCCUGUGUGGAUGACGGUACCGGAAUAAGAAGCACCGGCUAACUACGUGCCAGCCGCCGCCGUAAUAC